rnacentral:rRNA from 1 species
AUGACGAUCUCCACACCGCCCCCGGCGCCCGCAGAGCCGCAGCCGCAGCAGGAGGAAGAGGAGGUGCUCGUGCCGCACCAGGAGCUACCCAACGGGACGCAGCCAAUGGAAGUUGUGCCUGCUGAGCCAGCUGCUACUGUCGAAAACCAGCCAACAGAGGAUACACCAAUCUCGAGAUUUACUUGGACCAUUGAUAACCUAUCAAGAGUGAAUACGAAGAAGCUCUACUCUGAAACUUUUGUUGUUGGUGGCUACAAGUGGCGAGUUUUGAUUUUCCCAAGGGGAAAUAAUGUUGAAUUCUUGUCUAUGUAUUUGGAUGUUGCUGAUUCAGCAGUCUUGCCCUAUGGAUGGACUAGAUAUGCACAGUUCAGCCUCUCAGUGGUUAAUCAAAUUCACAACAAGUUUACAAUAAGAAAAGAAACACAACAUCAGUUCUCUGCUCGAGAAAGCGAUUGGGGUUUCACUUCAUUUAUGCCUUUGAGUGAACUCUACAAUCCCAGUAGAGGUUAUCUUGUAAAUGAUACUUGUGUAAUAGAAGCAGAGGUUGCUGUGUGUAAGGUUGUUGAUUAUUGGAGUUAUGACUCUAAAAAGGAGACUGGCUAUGUUGGCCUCAAAAACCAAGGUGCCACUUGCUAUAUGAAUUCUCUCCUUCAGACUCUCUAUCACAUUCCAUAUUUCAGAAAGGCGGUUUAUCAUAUGCCCACUACUGAGAAUGAUAUGCCCUCAGGAAGCAUUCCAUUAGCUCUUCAAAGUCUCUUUUAUAAGUUGCAGUAUAAUGACAGCAGUGUUUCCACAAAGGAGCUAACAAAAUCUUUUGGGUGGGACAUGCACGAUUCAUUUAUGCAACAUGAUGUGCAAGAACUAAAUAGAGUUCUUUCUGAGAAGUUGGAAGAUAAGAUGAAGGGAACCGUUGUGGAGGGCACAAUCCAACAAUUAUUUGAAGGGCAUCACAUGAACUAUAUCGAGUGUAUCAAUGUGGACUUUAAAUCAACAAGGAAGGAAUCCUUCUAUGACCUACAGCUUGAUGUCAAAGGUUGUCAGGACGUCUAUGCUUCAUUUGACAAGUAUGUGGAGGUGGAGCGCCUGGAAGGUGAUAACAAGUAUCAUGCGGAACAGCAUGGAUUGCAGGAUGCAAAGAAAGGUGUUCUUUUUAUCGACUUCCCUCCUGUUCUACAACUUCAGCUAAAACGCUUUGAAUAUGAUUUCAUGCGUGACACAAUGGUGAAGAUAAAUGACCGUUACGAGUUCCCACUUCAGUUGGAUCUGGAUAGAGAUGAUGGGAAGUAUUUAUCUCCCGAUGCAGACAGGAAUGUGCGAAAUCUUUACACUUUGCACAGUGUUCUUGUCCAUAGUGGCGGUGUUCAUGGUGGGCAUUACUAUGCUUUCAUAAGACCUACGCUCUCUGAUCAGUGGUUCAAGUUCGAUGAUGAGCGUGUAACAAAAGAAGAUGCAAAGAGGGCAUUGGAAGAGCAAUAUGGUGGUGAGGAGGAGCUACCCCAGACUAAUCCUGGCUUAAACAACACUCCGUUCAAGUUUACCAAAUAUUCGAACGCAUACAUGCUUGUAUACAUUCGUGAAAGCGACAAGGACAAAAUAAUUUGUAAUGUGGAUGAGAAGGACAUAGCUGAGCACCUUCGAAUUAGACUGGAAAAGGACCGUGAAGAGAAGGAGCGCCGGAAAAAGGAGAAAGCUGAGGCCCACCUAUAUACCAUCAUUAAGGUUGCUAGGGAUGACGAUUUGACUGCUCAGAUAGGGAAAGAUAUAUAUUUUGAUCUUGUUGAUCAUGAUAAAGUCCCGAGCUUUCGUAUUCAAAAGCAGAUGCCUUUUACUCAAUUCAAGGAGGAGGUAGCAAAAGAAUUGGGCAUCCCUACGCAGUUCCAACGAUUUUGGUUGUGGGCCAAGCGGCAAAACCAUACCUACCGACCCAAUCGACCGUUGACUCCUCAAGAAGAAGCACUAACUGUUGGGCAAUUAAAGGAAGCAGCAAACAAGGCCCACAACGCAGAACUGAAGUUGUUCUUGGAAGUUGAACUUGGGCUGGACCUAAAACCUCUUGCUCUACCAGACAAGACCAGGGAUGAUAUUUUGCUUUUCUUCAAACUCUAUGAUCCUGAAAAGGAACAGCUGCGGUAUGUUGGUAGGCUCUUUGUGAAGGCUUCAGGAAGACCACAGGAUAUUCUGCCAAAAUUGAGAAAAAUGGCUGGUUUUUUGCAAGAUGAUGAUGUCGAACUUUACGAGGAAAUUAAGUUCGAGCCAAAUGUGAUGUGUGAAUACAUUGAUAAUAGGAUUAUAUUUCGCUCUUGCCAGCUGGAAGAUGGUGAUAUUGUUUGUUUUCAAAAAUCCCCAAAGCCAGAUACUGCUGACCAGUUUAGAUACCCUGAUGUCCCAUCGUUUCUGGUGUAUAUACGUAACAGACAGGUUGUCCACUUCCGGUCGUUGGAGAAGCCCAAGGAGGAUGAUUUUUGCCUAGAGAUGUCAAAGAUUUUCACGUACGAUGAAGUUGUAGAAAAAGUCGCUCAACAGCUUGGUGUUGAUGACCCAUCAAAAAUUCGUCUUACAUCACAUAAUUGUUACUCUCAACAGCCUAAGCCUCAACCCAUUAAGUACAGAGGCGUUGAACGUUUGCUAGAUAUGCUGAUUCACUACAAUCAGACUUCUGAUAUUCUGUACUAUGAAGUAUUGGAUAUACCCCUGCCAGAACUACAAGCAUUGAAGACAUUGAAAGUUACAUAUCAUCAUGCCACCAAGGAUGAGGUGUCUGUUCACAGUAUAAGAUUGCCAAAAAAUAGCACGGUUGGUGAUGUUCUAAGUGAUAUCAAAUCAAAGGUUGACCUAUCUCAUCCUGAUGCUGAACUUCGAUUACUUGAAGUUUUCUACCACAAGAUAUACAAGAUUUUUGCACCCAGUGAAAAAAUAGAAAACAUCAACGAUCAGUACUGGACACUGCGUGCAGAGGAGGUACCGGAGGAGGAGAAAAACCUUGGUCCUUUUGAUCGCUUGAUUCAUGUAUACCAUUUUACCAAAGACACUCAAAACCAAACGCAAGUUCAGAAUUUUGGAGAACCUUUCUUUAUGGUUAUUCGUGAGGAUGAGACCUUAUCUUCUAUUAAAGAACGUUUACAGAAAAAGCUUAAGGUCUCAGAUGAGGAUUUCUCCAAGUGGAAAUUUGCGUACAUAUCCCUUGGUCGCCCAGACUAUUUUGAAGAUUCUGACACUGUAGCUACGAGAUUUCAGAGAAACAUGUAUGGAGCUUGGGAGCAGUAUCUUGGACUGGAGCACCCGGACACAGCGCCAAGAAAGGCACAUAGUGCUAACCAGAACCGCCAUUCAUUUGAGAGGCCUGUAAAGAUCUACAACUAG